UACAGAGGUCCCGAGCGUUGUUCGGAUUCAUUGGGCGUAAAGGGUGCGUAGGCGGCGGGGUAAGUUUGAUGUGAAAUCCCGGGGCUCAACCCUGGAAUUGCAUUGAAUACUACCUUGCUAGAGUAUCGGAGAGGAAACUGGAAUUUACGGUGUAGCAGUGAAAUGCGUAGAGAUCGUAAGGAAGACCAGUGGCGAAGGCGAGUUUCUGGACGGUAACUGACGCUGAGGCACGAAGGCCAGGGGAGCAAACGGG
rnacentral:rRNA from 1 species